ACAACCGGGAUUGCCUCAGUAACGGCGAGUGAAGCGGCAACAGCUCAAAUUUGAAAACUGGUCCGUCCCCGACGGGCCCGAGUUGUAAUUUGGAGAGGGUGCUUCGGGCACGGCGUCGGCGUAAGUGCCUAGGAACAGGCCGUCACAGAGGGUGAGAACCCCGUCCGCCGCCGGCGACCACGCCCGCGCAGAAGCCCCUUCGACGAGUCGAGUUGUUUGGGAAUGCAGCUCUAAAUGGGUGGUAAAUUCCAUCUAAAGCUAAAUACGGGUCGGAGACCGAUAGCGCACAAGUAGAGUGAUCGAAAGAUGAAAAGCACUUUGGAAAGAGAGUCAAACAGCACGUGAAAUUGUUGAAAGGGAAGCGCUGGCGACCAGACCGGUGCGGGGGCGAUCACCCGGGGCGUGCUCCCGGGGCACUCGCCCCCGACGCCGGCCAGCAUCGAUCCGGACGGCGGGACAAAGGGCCCGGGAAGGUAGCUCUCCUGCGGGGGAGUCUUAUAGCCCGGGCCGGCAUGCCGCCCGUCAGGAUCGAGGAACGCGCUCCGGCUCGGAUGCUGGCGUAAUGGUCGUCAGCGACCCGUCUUGAAACACGGACCAAGGAGUCUAACAUCUAUGCGAGUGUUUGGGCGUCAAACCCCUGGACGCGGAAUGAAAGUGAACGCAGGUGGGAUCCCCUCUCCCUUUCGGGGGGGGCGCACCAUCGACCGAUCCGGAUGUCUUCGGAUGGAUUUGAGUAGGAGCAUAGCUGUUGGGACCCGAAAGAUGGUGAACUAUGCCUGAAUAGGGCGAAGCCAGAGGAAACUCUGGUGGAGGCUCGCAGCGGUUCUGACGUGCAAAUCGAUCGUCGAAUUUGGGUAUAGGGGCGAAAGACCAAUCGAACCAU
rnacentral:rRNA from 1 species